rnacentral:rRNA from 1 species
UACAGAGGUCUCAAGCGUUGUUCGGAUUCAUUGGGCGUAAAGGGUGCGUAGGCGGCGCGGUAAGUCGGGUGUGAAAUCUCGGAGCUUAACUCCGAAACUGCAUUCGAUACUGCCGUGCUUGAGGACUGGAGAGGAGACUGGAAUUUACGGUGUAGCGGUGAAAUGCGUAGAUAUCGUAAGGAAGACCAGUGGCGAAGGCGGGUCUCUGGACAGUUCCUGACGCUGAGAAGCGAAAGCAUGGGGGAGCGAACAGG